rnacentral:rRNA from 1 species
UACGUAGGGUGCGAGCGUUGUCCGGAAUUAUUGGGCGUAAAGAGCUCGUAGGCGGUUUGUCACGUCUGCUGUGAAAUCCCGAGGCUCAACCUCGGGCCUGCAGUGGGUACGGGCAGACUGGAGUGCGGUAGGGGAGAAUGGAAUUCCUGGUGUAGCGGUGGAAUGCGCAGAUAUCAGGAGGAACACCAACGGCGAAGGCAGCACUCUGGGCCGGUACUGACGCUGAGGAGCGAAAGCGUGGGGAGCAAACAGG